AUUGAACGCUGGCGGAAUGCUUUACACAUGCGAGUCGAACGGCAGCACGGACUUCGGUCUGGUGGCGAGUGGCGAACGGGUGAGUAAUGUAUCGGAACGUGCCCAGUCGUGGGGGAUAACGUAGUGAAAAUUACGCUAAUACCGCAUACGAUCUAUGGAUGAAAGCGGGGGAUCGCAAGACCUCGCGCGAUUGGAGCGGCCGAUAUCAGAUUAGCUAGCUGGUGGGGUAUAGGCCCACCAAGCCAACGAUCUGUAGCUGGUCUGAGAGGACGACGAGAAACACUGGAACUGAGACACGAUCCCGAGUCGUACGAUAAGCAGCAGUGGGGAAUUGUGUACAGUGGGCGAAAGCCUGAUCCGGCAAUUGCGCGUGCAGGAUGAAGGACUUCGUGUUGUAAACGGCUUUUGUACAGAACGAAAAGGUUGCUACUAAUACUAGGAGCUCAUGACGGUACUGUAAGAAUAAGCACCGGCUAACUACGUGCCAGCAGCCGCCGUAA
rnacentral:rRNA from 1 species